UUAAGAGCUUGCUCUUAUGAAGUUAGCGGCGGACGGGUGAGUAACACGUGGGUAACCUACCCAUAAGACUGGGAUAACUCCGGGAAACCGGGGCUAAUACCGGAUAAUAUUUUGAACUGCAUAGUUCGAAAUUGAAAGGCGGCUUCGGCUGUCACUUAUGGAUGGACCCGCGUCGCAUUAGCUAGUUGGUGAGGUAACGGCUCACCAAGGCGACGAUGCGUAGCCGACCUGAGAGGGUGAUCGGCCACACUGGGACUGAGACACGGCCCAGACUCCUACGGGAGGCAGCAGUAGGGAAUCUUCCGCAAUGGACGAAAGUCUGACGGAGCAACGCCGCGUGAGUGAUGAAGGCUUUCGGGUCGUAAAACUCUGUUGUUAGGGAAGAACAAGUGCUAGUUGAAUAAGCUGGCACCUUGACGGUACCUAACCAGAAAGCCACGGCUAACUACGUGCCAGCAGCCGCGGUAAUACGUAGGUGGCAAGCGUUAUCCGGAAUUAUUGGGCGUAAAGCGCGCGCAGGUGGUUUCUUAAGUCUGAUGUGAAAGCCCACGGCUCAACCGUGGAGGGUCAUUGGAAACUGGGAGACUUGAGUGCAGAAGAGGAAAGUGGAAUUCCAUGUGUAGCGGUGAAAUGCGUAGAGAUAUGGAGGAACACCAGUGGCGAAGGCGACUUUCUGGUCUGUAACUGACACUGA
rnacentral:rRNA from 1 species